ACGAACGCUGGCGGCGUGCCUAAUACAUGCAAGUAGAACGCUGAAGAGAGGAGCUUGCUCUUCUUGGAUGAGUUGCGAACGGGUGAGUAACGCGUAGGUAACCUGCCUUGUAGCGGGGGAUAACUAUUGGAAACGAUAGCUAAUACCGCAUAACAAUGGAUGACACAUGUCAUUUAUUUGAAAGGGGCAAUUGUUCCACUACAAGAUGGACCUGCGUUGUAUUAGCUAGUAGGUGAGGUAACGGCUCACCUAGGCGACGAUACAUAGCCGACCUGAGAGGGUGAGCGGCCACACUGGGACUGAGACACGGCCCAGACGCCUACGGGAGGCAGCAGUAGGGAAUCUUCGGCAAUGGGGGCAACCCUGACCGAGCAACGCCGCGUGAGUGAAGAAGGGUUUCGGAUCGUAAAGCUCUGUUGUAAGUCAAGAACGGGUGUGAGAGUGGAAAGUUCACACUGUGACGGUAGCUUACCAGAAAGGGACGGCUAACUACGUG
rnacentral:rRNA from 1 species